ACACAAGUUCUUAGGCGUAACUCUCCUCUCCAAAGGUAGAAAGCACAUACUGCAUCUCAGUAACAAUGGCAAAGAACUCCUCGGCCUUCGUUCAGCUGCUGCUUGUCCUCCUCACGUUACUGGUUUUUGUUGCCGGCAUCCUCGCACGAGAUGGACCAAGCACCUGCGCCAACAAUCCAGCUCGACAGCAAGCCUGCCCUUCAAUCCCAGGUAAAGGGAAGUAAUCGUAAGCAGUGGGUCCGUGGACGCUAGGGCGGAAUCCACGAGCCGUUUCUACAUUAUUUGCAGCAGGAUUUGGAGGACUCUUCUGUUGGCCUCGCAAGUUUACUACAUCAAACAAUUAUUUAUACUUUGUAUUAUUCAGGUGCAUGCUUUUUGUGUGUUGUGCUAAUGUCGGCGUUGUGGCCUGCUUUACCAAUAAUAUAGUAUUACGAUGGACAAUUGGACAGUAUAUCUGCCCAUACAAUUAAACAGUUUGGAGAAGUUUAUGAGUACACAUGUAUAUGUGUGUUUGCACCAAACUGUGCCAGCGAACAGAAAUAGUAAAUGCAUUACUACGUGUUAA